CAUUUUAGAAUAAGGCUGUAACGUAACAAAAUGUGGAAAAAGGGAAGGGGUCUGUAUACUUUCCGAAUGCACUGUAUAUAUAUUACCAGUUGUGAAAUCCAUAGAUUAGGGCCUAAUGAAUUUAUUUAAAUUGACUGAUUUCCUUAUGAACUGUAACUAUGUAAAAUAUUUGAAAUGGUUGGAUGUUGCAUUUGAUAUUUUAGUUCAGUAAAGAAAAACAUACCUCUACUACUUGUAGAAGUGGAGAUGUGUAUGUAGCGUAGGCUUCUUGAAAAGUGUUUUCCUCAGCUUCCAGACAUCAAGGUUAGAUUGCCUAGGUUGUUAUCACUCUUUAAGAUGAGACUUUGUCUAAUAUUAAGCCCCUCAAGUGCCUGGUGUUAGUGUGGCCUAUCGUGAUGAAUAGUGAUAAUUUCAACAGCCAUGACAUUAGAAUGUCCUGUAUUUUCACCAGGCAGUGAUGCAGAACCGUUUUCCACUGGGUUUUUGUUUCUUUCUCAUUUUAUGGGCGACGCAAUUUUAUCCUGGUCAUAUGACUUUGAUUAGCCAAACUAGCUAGCUAAAUGAUAUAAGUAAACUUUUCAUUGUUUUGUAGCUUGGUACAUCUGUCGACUUAAAACAAUACGAGUUGGACUGUAUAUAACUUUUAAUGAUACUGUUGGUGUCAUGUGACAAACAUAUGGAGUACCUGGGGUUUCUGCCAGAGGUGGACUCAGUGGGGAAGCUGAGUGUUGACGCAGAAACCUUACAGCAUGGUGUGGAGGGACUCAUUUGAUCUGCUCACCGAGAGCUCUAAACUCAAUAUUCCUGAGGUGGACUUUCAGGACUCGGUGCUGGCCUUCACAGAGUAGCCGAACCAGCUGCUGCUGCAGCUCUACUUGGACCUCAGGAAGGAGAUCUGACACAUCCUCAGUGAACUGACCCACUCACUGCCACACUAACAUGGUCCAAGCACGCCAAGUCAGUCGUGAAGAGUACACGACAACACCUAUUCCCACUCAGGAGACUGAGAAGAUUUGGCAUUGGUCCUCAAAUCCUCAAAAAGUUAUACAGCCGCACCAUCGAGAGCAUGGUGCAGCUGCAUCUCUGCCUGGUAUGACAACUGCUCGGCCUCCGACUGCAAGGCACUACAGAGGGUAGUGCCUACGGCCCAGUACAUCACUAGGGACAAGCUUCCUGCCAUCCAGGACCUCUAUACCAGACGGUGUCAAUGGAAUGCCCUAAAAAUAGGGUUCCCCCACUGACACAACUGUGUACAUUAUUGAACUGGGACUUUACUGAUCUGAAAGCAUUCAACAUCAAUAAGUCCAUCUUCCACAGAUCCCUGUCAACAUCAAACAGGCCUUGGAACCCUGUGUAACAGCAAAUAGGGUCCAACCUGACAUUUUUUUUUGUUUUUUUUUGUCAACAUUGAAUUGAGUCCUGCCAGCAGAGGUGGUUACAGAUGACCCUGCAUCAGGGAUAGGAGAUGGGCAUCUGUCACAUAGGAUACAGCUCUAUUGCCUAAAGUGGUUACCUCUCAUCUCCUUCCAUAUACAGUGAGCUCCAAACGUAUUGGGACAGUGAAUUCUUGUUGUUUUGGCUCUGUACUCCAGCACUUUGGAUUUGAAAUUAUACAAUGACUAUGAAGUUAAAGUGCAGACUGUCAGCUUUAAUUUUAGGGUAUUUUCAUCCAUAUCAGGUGAUGAAUGGGAAAUAAUGCGAGGUCACUUUUAUUGUAAAUAAGAAUAGAAUGUUUCUAAACACAUCUACAUUCAUGUGGAUGCUACCAUGAUUUUGGAUAGUCCUGAAUGAAUUGUAAAUAAUAACGAGUGAGAAAGUUAGACGCACAAAUAUCAUUCCCCCAAGACUUGUUAAACUCUCACCAUUAAAAUAACAUGGGAGGUUAGGAUUUUUUGGGUGGUAUGAUAUUUGUGCUUCUAACUUUCGCACUCUUUCGCAUUCAUGAUUCAUUCAGGAUUUUCCGUAAUCAUGGUAGCAUCCAUAUUAAUGUAGAAGUGUUAAACAUUCAAGCCUAUAAUUGAAAAAACAUCUACAAUAAAAGUGACUACAAAAUGACAUUACAAUAUUUACCACUCAUUUAUAUAGGGCACAAAAUAAUCUGAAACACAACCUAAAUAAACAACAAAUGCUGUUGUCACACGCUUGAUGUAAUCAUUGUGUGAUAGGAAUAUGGGACCAAAUACUUAACUUUUGACUACAUUAAUACACAUGAAUUUGUCCCAGUACUUUUGGUCCCCUAAAAUGGGGGACUAAGUACAAAAAUUGCUGUAAUUUCUAAACGGUUCACCCGACAUGGAUGAAAAUACCCUCAAAUUAAAUCUGAUAGUCUUCACUUUAUCCUCAGUCAUUUUAUCAUUUGAAAUCCAAAGUGUUGGAGUACAGAGCCAAAAUAACCAAAUAUUUGUCACGGCCCCAAUAGUUUUGGAGCUUACUGUAUCUGCUCGGAUCUGGGUGGGAAAUCCGGAUAAGUGAAAGAUGAAUGGCACCGGUCACCUAGAGAGAAUGCUAUCACCUGGGCACAGUUUGAUUGACAUGAUCCUGUGUUAAAUUCUGCUCCUCCUUCAGAUGUGGCCCCUCCUUGCUUUUGGAUGCAAGAGAGAACUGAAUCACAUCUCUUACAUACCACAUCAUAUGCCACAAUAAAUAUAAUUGUAUAUGAUCCCAUGACAUUUGGGGGUGAAAUAUUGUCUUUCUAAAACGAAGUGGGAACUCAAUGGGGGAUCAGGGUUGAAACAACACAGGAUAAUUCUGAUCUGGAUUAAAUGUUUGGAAAAUCUGGGCCCUAUGCAGUUUUAUUCUGAUCAGGGAAAUGGACAAGGAGGCUGCACUAGGGUGUUGAGAUGUAUACACUGAUAGGCACUGCUAUUCUAAUUAAUUUAGCUAAUGGCGAUCAAAUAUUGUCAAGUAAUAAAGCUAUCACAAUAACCAUAUCAGAAUUAGGUGGGAGGGAGGGCAUUUUGGACAUUUCUAUGUGGUAUGGACAGAGUUUACUGGUGCACCUUUUCUAGCCUUGUAGAAACAGUACUUGGCAAAAGCCCUCAGUCAUAAUCAUGCAGUGCUGUUGCAUUCAUAAUCUUUGAUCAUUUAAUUUGUACACCUUCAAAUUGUACUGACAUCGUUUGGAUAGCCUUGAUUCUCUUGACGGAUCAAUUGUAGAGGAAGAUGAGUAGUGGGUGAAAGAACAGUGCAUUUUAUUAUGUAGAGGAUUCAGAAUGUGGGCAUUGUCUGUUUUACAUCAAUCAAACGGUUUACAUUGGUACUUUGGAAAGAUUCAGAUCAAAGGUAGACUUAAAAUGAGCCAUUAUAGAUAUAGAUUGUCCAUGUUUUUAGCUUUAUGCGUGCCUGACUAAUGUAUUCCAUGAGUUUGAAUGAUUUUUUUCCCAAAAAGAGUAUGAGUGGCUAAAUGUUACUUAGAAUUGUAUAAAGCAAUGUUGUUAAAUUGUUUACAGGAUUUUUAGAUAUUGCCAUCUAUACAUUUUUUUGUGAGUACAUUUUUGCCAAUAAUUCUAUGAACAAACCACUUCACUAGCUAGGUUUCCUUCCAAUUGGCAACAGAUUUUCAGUCAAAUGUUCUAAAAUCUACAUAACCAUAUGUGCAUUUUCCAACCAAAGAUUUUUCCAUCAAAUUUAAUUGUUGCGGGUUAAAGGCUGCGCAUGAUGUAGUGCACAUACAAAUAACUUGUGGUUAUUCCCAUGGUUUUAGUAUGUGUGCUCUAGCAAAUAUCUUGCAGAAACAGUGCGGGUGUAGUCUACUACAUGAUGAGAUUAUUAUAGACAAAAGAGCAAGAUUUUUAUUUGUCAAAUGGCAGCCAAGCAUCGAUCAUCAUGUCACCAUAAUAAAAUACAUGAAGCUAUAUAUCCAAUCCAGUCCAUUCAAUUAACUACGCGCCAAAAUUGAACUCGGACAAUAUGUCUGGAAAGUAACUGUAACAUUAAACGGUUAACAAUUUCGUCUUGGGUCCAUAACGGCUAAAUGCUAGAAUUUGCCUGUAAGGCAUAUCUUAGAUAAUCAUAGGGGAAACACAAAACGGACUGAGAUCAGUGUGUGGUUGAGGUUCUGCCCGACCAGACGCGUAGGCGUUGCAUUGCAAUUAUUGAUGGACAUUCAACAGACAUUCGCAAAAAGCCAUUUAAAAAUGUAAAAAUCAAUAACUAGUUCACAGUGUGUCACGGAAUCAUCAAACUAGAUAUGAUUUAUUCUAUAAAUGUCUAGCAUACUUUUACAGCUUUUGUUUUGAGUAGCAAUUCCAGUUUUGACUUGAUAGAAAUACAUCAAAUCUUUAAAAUGCCAUUUAAACCGGUAAAACUCAAUAACUAAUUCACCAUUUGUCACAUAAACAUCAACCUAGAUGUGAUUUAUUCCAUAAAUGUCUAGCAUACUUUUACAACCUUUGUUUUGUGUAGAAAUUCCAGUUUCACAUGUUAUAAAUACAUAACAUCUAUAAAAUGUCAUUUAAAACUGUAUGCAUGGAUAACUAAUUAAUCGUUUGUCACAGAAAAAUCUAAGUAGGUAUGAUUUAUUCCAAAAAUGUAUACUUUUACAACCUUUGCUUUGAGUAGAAAUUCCAGUUUUGAUUUGAAAGAAAUACAUAAAAUCUCAAAUAUUGUAUUUAAUGAUGAAUAAAUCUAAAUCAGUGAUUGUCUCAGAAAAAAAGUGAAAAUAUGCAUUUAAUUGUAUGCCAAAUCAAUAUUUGCAUUUUUAGUGCAACAGUUCCACAUUGUAAAGUAGUUACAAGGCACAACAGUCAUUUAUUUAUAGGUCUCUAAUUUAACAGCAAAGUGGCCCCUUUCUAUAAUUUUGGCUUUGAAGUCCUUUGUCAUCCCCAGACAAGCUGAAUGGUACCAUCUCUGGUACACAGAGCAUUCUAUCUGCAGUAUUAAAAACAUAAAACAGUGUUAUGUUUAUUUACAUGUAAAUUACAGUUCUGGAAUACCCAAAUUCUGUUACAUGCUUUUGCAAUUAGGAACAUUUUCAAAUUGAAUUGGAUUUUUGUUCAAUGGCUAAAUUGACUUUAAAUGACAUGAAUUUGACCACAACCCUGAUAGAAGCAUACAUAACUGAGGCGUUAAUCAUCGUUGAGUAUUCAGGCAAUAUAAAUCAUAUCGUAAUAAAGGCAUACAUUUGCAAAAACGAAUGUGUUACUAAAGAAGCUAUCACAUGUCAAUGUUGUAAUAUCAAACAUUCCCAUUAUCGUAGGCUUUGACAUUCAAAUCAGUUUAAUCGUCUCUCGUGCCAGAUGCAACGUGUUCACCUAUUACAGUGAAUUGCUGUCAUAGUAUGUAUCUAGUAUCUCUCAUAGUAGAAUAAUAAAAAUAGAGUAAUGAUAAUUAAUAGAACAUUAGAGCAAAAAUAACACAAGGAUAACCCUGAUAAAAAAAAGUUUGAAGGAUGAAACUACAUGAUUUUUCAUAGCCUACUGUUAUAUUACAUAAAGACAAACCCAGUUCCUCAGGUCAUCAAAGCACACAUUGAGCAGUCUUGCUUUGACUGGAAAAAAAGAGGACCAUAUUUUUAUGCAUUGUUGACACAUUUAAAGAUGCUUUCUGGAACCCAUAGUUCUCGAGGUUGUGCUUCGAAGACUGUCCCUCACAGUUGCAUACUACAUUGUUCUCUCACUGUCUGUGCUUUGCCCCCUUCCCACACCCUAUAGCAAAGGAUUCCCCAAAGAUUGUCUUUCUGCUUUCUGCAAAAGUUAACCUCGAAAACACCUAGUCAACCUUGUUGUAAACUACUGUAACUUUGAGAAUGUCCCUCCUUUUUUCUGUAUUUGCUGUUAGUCUAAUGUACUGUAUAAUAAAAAUAACACCUCCCCCUAGUGGCCAAGACAAAAACAGAAAGGUUCCAUGUGGGACUUAGAAAUAUAUGUAACAUGAAUUACAAUAACUACAGUAGGUAGGUACAUCAAACCUACAUCAAAGUACACUAAUCCUCCCAAAAUGUAUUUCCUAGUAUCAGUAUUUCCUUUUUCAGGCUUUUUUCCCUGAGGUAAUAGAUUCAACUCUUCAUCACUUACAGCCAAAUAUUUAAUACUUGAUGAAACGGGGAAAGGAGAUAGACUGUUCAAGUUUGUAAGUGCAGUUGGAGUUUAUUACAGUCAGUACAAGCUGAGUGUUGGAAUUAUUAAAAAACAGUUUUGGAACUUUUCUGAGUUACAAAAGACCAUUACAGACUGUGCUGUCAUUUUGCAAAUUCUAAAGUUCAAACAAACAGUAAAAGAAUACCUGAAUACUUCUCUGCAUGCUUUAGUGCCUAGAAGGCCAAGACCACUGAACUUGGUGUAUGUAGGUGCAAUUUAUUUUCUUGAAUAUGGUGGUGAACCUGAUCAAGUGGAAACUGAGUGUAGAUAUCACAAACAACUCCCUUUGAGCAGUGUCUGUCUGUUAUACGUUUGAUCAAUGGGUAUAAUGGUAAAUCUGAUCUCCCAAGGUCCUCAUACGCUCACUUGGAUACAUAGAGUUGGAGGUAAAGAAAAAAAUGAAACUAGGACAUUAAAACACUGGCAGAAUGCUUUCAUCCACAUCCAUUCACAUAAAAUAUGUAUUUUAAAGUAUAAAUACCCCCCUAAGACCAGUCUUUCUGGAUAUUUUAAAAGGUUUGCAAAUAGUUUUUUUCUGCAAGGAAUGUGAAUUGAAAGGGAUAUGGUAACACCUAUGUAGGUUACGUAAUUUCUACACUGAUAUAAUGGGUAUAAUGUGUGGUAGUUGCACACCUCCCUGCUGAAUUAUGUAGAGCAGUUUAAGAGAGAAAGAGAGCAAAUAGCAUAGGGACAGCCUGGUUGAAGUCCUAGUUUUGAAUGGUUAGUGCCAGUAGAUUGCAGAGGGGUUCACAUAUAGUUCAGAGGCAAAUCAUAAUGUAUACAUUUAGCCCAAAACCAAACAUGUACAGUCUACUUCUUAUAUUAAUGCUUUUUCUGUUAUCCGCCCUCAUUAAAAAUCCUACAAUGUGA